AGGACGAACGCUGGCGGCGUGCCUAACACAUGCAAGUCGAACGCGCUCCAUUCGGUAGCAAUACUGAUGAAGAGCGAGUGGCGAACGGGUGAGUAGCACGUGAGCAACCUGCCCCGAAGACCGGGACAACACCGGGAAACCGGUGCUAAUACCGGAUAUCCCUAUCGGACCGCAUGAUCUGAUAAGGAAAUGGAUUCCGCUUCGGGAGGGGCUCGCGGCCUAUCAGCUAGUUGGUGAGGUAACGGCCCACCAAGGCAUCGACGGGUAGCUGGUCUGAGAGGACGAUCAGCCACACUGGGACUGAGACACGGCCCAGACUCCUACGGGAGGCAGCAGUGGGGAAUCUUGCGCAAUGGGCGAAAGCCUGACGCAGCAACGCCGCGUGGAGGACGAAGGCUUUCUGAGUUGUAAACUCCUUUCAGCAGGGACGAUAGUGACGGUACCUGCAGAAGAGCACCGGCCAACUACGUGCCAGCAGCCG
rnacentral:rRNA from 1 species